CUGAAGGCUCCAUCGCAGCUUCAACAGUUAAGUGUGCACAGAAGAGCAAGGAAAGGAAGGGAAAAAAAAUUCAAAACCGGUGUCACAGGAGCAUUGCAAGAUGAGACUCUAUGCGAGAGUCAGCAAAGCCAUACGGAGGGAAGAUACUUUUCCUGCGGAGUUCUUGAUCUGCUGACCUGGGAACUUCUUCAUGGAUUAGAAAAAAAACACUGACAACAGAACAAAGCUGUGGUCCUCUUGGUGCAGCCAGCUCCACCGUAAGGAAAUGCAGCGCAACACUUGGAUGCCAAAUAACAUGGGAUGAAAUACUAAUUGUGAUAAGACUUUACAAAAAAGGCUAUCUGCCCCCGUGAGAGUCCAAGCCUCCAAGCAAGUCUCUCAUGGAACAAAAAUAUGCAAGUAUUGCUCUGCUCCAGAAGCUGAAGACCUAUAUAUAUAUAUGUAUUUUUAAAGUGGAAGAAUCCUUAGCAAAAAAUAGAAAUAUGGUUCUUACUGAGAGAAAUUAUCCUUUGACAUAUACUUCGUACAACUCAUAAAGUGUCCCCUGCUGACAUUUAAAUUGAUACCAUUCAUUCCCUUUCUUCUUUCCACUUGGAGGAAAUGGGAAUAAAUAAGCAAUCACUUGAGACAUUCUGCCUGACAAUAUAUGUCUAAAAAAUUUGCCAUUUCUAUUGUAGGAAGUGUGUCCAAAGACAGAAAGGGUACGCAAGAAAGACAAAUCACAUCUUUUCAAGCACCCAGUGGACAUGCAAACUUCAUACUUCAUUGGAAUAAGUAAUGAAGCUGCAUCUGCAUUCAGCACACAGAUGUCAGUGGAGACUCCUGUCAAUGGCGAUGGUCUUCCAUCUCUCUCAUAAAUGGGUAUGUCUCCACUUUUCCCAGCCAAGCUAAGUACAGUUCCUCAGACUAGUAUUUGCCAGAUUUCCUCCUUGCAUUUCUUAUCGUCCUGCAGCUACCUUACAGCCACUUCUUACGCACAGUCAGUCAGCUAAAAGUCAGUCCUGCUUCCUGUCUUGGUAAAAGUUGUAUUUUGCCACAUAAUCCUUUGCUUGUGCCAUAAUAGUCUUCAUGCUAAUCAAGUAUUAUAUGUAAAAAAUAAAAAUAAAAUUAAAAAAAAGACACAGAAGUGCUUCAGAUUUCCAAAGCAAUUUUCUCUUGGUUUGGCAGGAACUUAAUAAUUAAAUUUUCACUUGGAUGAAAAGCUACUGAGCAGAAGGGAAGAAUUUUUUUCUGAAAGCUGCUGGAAAAUGGACAACUUUGGUCAAUGUCCUCAUAAAAUGUUAGUAUUCAGAGGACCAUUUGAAAGCUUGGAGCAUUUGAUCUUCCAAAUAACAUUUUUAAAGAAGAUACUUAAGGAAGACAGGAAGUCCCUGUGAAAAUGCUAAAAUUUAACUGAAUAUUUAAUUUUCCAUCAAGGGAAAAAAAAAAAAGUUAAACAUUUUGGUCAUCCUGAAUUAGCCAUCUAGAAUGGGAUGUCAGUAUCUUUUGUUAUAAUUCGGGGUAUCGAGGAAAGUCAGAAAGUAAAGAUAUGCAGCGCUGCACACAUUCUUUCCUACAGCGAGAUGUAAAUAAUGCAGAUGCCCAACAGGAAGACUGAACUGCUGAUUAAUGCUUUAGGACCCAGGACUGCUGGGUUCUGUUUCUCCCCUUUUUCUGGUGUGCCCUUGAGAAAAUUGAUGCCCUUCACUUCUACUUGCAUAGUUACACCAAGCUGCAGGCCUUACUUCAUUUUUAUCUGUGAUAUAAGUUGAGAUUCCUGUUUGGAAAGCACGUUAGAAAAGCAGACUUGUGUUGUCAGCACUGAGAUAUCACGCAGGGGAGCAUUAAACUUGGAUUUGGGACAGGCAGCAGAGGUCUUUUCCUGUGCAGGGAAUAUGGGACUUAUUUCUGAUUAACUUUCCAAACCAUUGGUUCAUGCAGAUGAAAGUUCAAGAAGCACCGCUGGGUAGGUCAAUGUAAUUAUUACACCAAGUGGCACAAACCACUGACCAAAAGAUAUAGAGGGAUGCAGCAUACAGUCCUCAGAUGAUGAUGCCAUUAGAAGGCACUUCAUGGAUAAGGGCUUGUUAGUCCAAACCGAAUCUGCAUGCAGCAGGUCUGUUGCAAAGUGCGGACAAUUUCUUCCACGUGGUGCCAGAAAGGUAAAAUUUUCUUUCCAUUAAAUACUUUGAUCAAUCACCUUACGAACAGGCACCAGCCAACCGUGUUAAUGUGCCAUGGCUCAUUGUGUGUAAAGAAAAUGUCCAUACUUUAGGCCUCAGUGCUUUCGUUCACAAAACACUGUUCACCAGAUGACUGCAGGCUGGAGCCAUGAAUCCAUUUUGCCUUAUUUACAUGAAUUUUCCACAGAGUCCUUCAGGAGGUUUCAUACUCAGCACUUCCCAAAGGAAAUUAUGUGUAUAAAAUUCAUGAGAAACCCUGCUUUCUCUAGAGUAUUAGUAGACAUCUCUCUAUUAUGCAACCCAGGAAUAUUAUAAACCAAUAAAUAAACCUUGAGAUGAAGGAUAUUUGCCUCACUGAAGCAAACAUCCUCAGAUGUGUGGGGAGUAUAUGUGCAGUGCCUUUAAAGGAUAGUCUCAGUUUUCUUUUAUCUCUAAAAUAUCCAUGGUGGUUAAAAUCCGAGCAGUAUUGGCUUUGCCUCUGCAGCAAUCUUAGCAUAAGAAUAUGAUUCUAAUCUGUGAUUGUUCUUGUAAUAUGCCUAUUCCAUUAAGCAAUAUUAAUAAGCCUAAUAAUGUCAUUUCUUGGUAAACCAGAGGAGGAAUUUGAUGCCUUAAUGCAAGUGAAUCUUUCCAGUUUUUGACUCUCAGCUAAUAUGAAAAGCAAACAUAUGCUGAGCUCAUGUUUUCCAACCUACCCAUUUUAAUGUUCAGUGCAGAACACAAACUGCUUAUGAGCUUCACUCAAAUGGAAGGAUAUUCAAAGCUACAUUUUUCUUUUGGGGAAAUCUGUCUUUCAAGAAAUUAUAUUUGGCUUAAUGGCUUGUAUUUUCACAACUGUUUGUACCCCAUAGCUCUGGCAAGGAGCUAACUCAAAGAAGGCUGCUCGUUGUAGCCAAAGCGUGGUGAUUUUCAGCACAACCAUAAGCAUAAAAUUAACUGCAUAUGUCUUUGAGGCCUUAUCAAUGCCUGGGGAUGUCCAGAGACUGAACCUCAUGGACUCAGAUCCAUCUCCCAUAGAGACACAAGUGGCUGCUGUUGCACGCAUUGCACGCCAUUUCUUCAGAGACAGUACUAGGGUACUGCACCAGAAACAUCAUUGACACCGAGGUGAACUUUGUGAGGAGCAACCCCUGAGAUUCAUAGGACAAAAAUGGGCCUUAAGUCCCUACUAGUGCAGUUAGAGCUUUUAAAAACUGCUUAUCAGCGCUUUGAAAAACUACUUAAUCGUCCCGGGAAAGACUUAAUUUUAUGGGAUUUUAAUUUUUAGAAGGCUGAAACAGUUCUGGAUGGAUAAAGAGGACUGGAAAGGGAAAGACAGCCUUACAUCUACAGAAGAAGCUUCCAGGGGACUGAAAGUGGUGUCUGAGGUCUCCCUUGCCACCUUGCUUCCCCUUCCCAGGGUUUUCUUCUAUAUUCCCCUUGCUGCCUUGGGAUAUGGAGUUGCAGCCCUCAGCACACACCUACCAGGAACCACACAGCCUCUCUUCCCUCUUUCCUCUUCCUACCUCCUCCAUCAUCCACACUGCAAAAAGUAUCUGCCUUUUGCCAAGCACCCCACUCAUUCUCCUAUGCUCUCCCAGUCUUUGGGGAAAGGAGGAGGGAUAGGAACAGGCAGCAGGAUGGGAACAGCAGGUGGGAGGGGAACAGAAGGCCGGAUAGGAACAGGUGGGGUGGGAACAGGCAGGAUGGGAACAGGAGAUGGGGUGGUCCCUCUUCCUAAAGACCAAAGGAAUUUGCGGGCCAGUCCAGGAGCCAAAGAAAAUCCUCAGAGACUAGGCUGUUCUGUUCUGGCUGCUGUCGAGGGUGAUGUUGGGUUUAGUCUUAAUUUUAAAGCUGUAUUAGAGACCUCCCACAAUCAUCCCCCCCCCCCUUCUAAACUCUUGGAUAAUAUCCUCACUCAUAAAACCCUGUGCAUUAAUUCUACCCUGAAUCUGCCUAGCUUACCAUGUUUUGUCUACGCAAAAGGAAAGCAUUUUCAAAUUUCAAAUUAUCAGAUUUCUGUUCCAGCUACAGGUACUUUUACAUUGUGACUGUGUUUGUAAAAUCAGCACUUUCACAAGGUGUUUUAUUGCUUUGUGAGCAAGGGGAAGAAGAGAUGCAAAAUGACGUGCCUUCUGGAGGUACCCAUCACUGGUUACAGAGAAAGCCUGAAUGACUUUUUAGUUUAGACUGGGCACUUAAUUUUUAGCUGGUUUAAUGGUGAAAAUUUCCACUUUUUACUAUGAAAAAACUUUGGUUCUUUUGUGAAACCUCUGCAGAAUUAUAAAUUAUCUUCUUGAAUUUCAGAGAUCAAAAAUGUAAACAGUAUCACUCCUGAAAUAAAAACACACAGUUCCUAUUCAAAAGCCUUACAAAUAUGCAGCAAAAUAACAUUAGCUCCUUUGCAAAGCUUUUAUCCUGACAAAAAUCAUCUUUAGUUAUUAUCUAACAUGACUACAAGUUGUUUUCUGUAACCAGCUGUCAGAAAAGAAGCUCUGUUGAGUAAAUAAAGGCUAUA